rnacentral:rRNA from 1 species
UACGUAGGGGGCAAGCGUUGUCCGGAUUUAUUGGGCGUAAAGAGCGUGUAGGCGGCCUGGAAGGUCAGCUGUGAAAACUCGAGGCUCAACCUCGAGACGUCGGUUGAAACCACCUGGCUAGAGUCCGGAAGAGGAGUGUGGAAUUCCCGGUGUAGCGGUGGAAUGCGCAGAUAUCAGGAGGAACACCGGUGGCGAAGGCGGGUCUCUGGGCCGAUACUGACGCUGAGGAGCGAAAGCGUGGGGAGCGAACAGG